UAAGGUCUAGCAAUUCCUGUUGAAAUGUCACAGAAAAUAGUAGUGUCAGAAUUAUCAAUAUGCAAUUGUCGAAGUUGAAGUGACGUAGAAGACUGAAGAAGUUGCUGCAAUUCAGGAUCUUCCUGCUGUCUUUCAGCUAAUUCUUGAGUAUCAACGAUAACUGAAAACUGUGCCACGAAAUCAAGUUGACGUUGUUGUCGAGGAGAUGCUUUAUCAGAACGUUUAUUGAAAGCAUAAAUAAGUGGUUUAUGAUCAGUGAGAAUCUU